UUAAUUAAAGAUUCAGUAAAAUAUCUCUAUAAUCUGCUGAUAAAAGAAACUCGAUUAUUAAAUACGAUUCACUGACGCGAUUAUUAUUAACUCAAGAGCAGAAAUUACGAACAACAGACGUGUAAAAUGGACUUAUCCUACUCAUAGUAGAGAGCCGGAUGGUAAGAAAGAUUUCUGUUCAUCGACAUUAUAGUUUGGCGUCGCGACGCCAACGUCGAUAAUAACGUUUGCUCCAAAUAUAAUGCAGUUAUGACAAUUUUACUGACAUGUUCUAUAGAUAGUUCUACGCAUUUUGAUAAUUUAAGAUUACUCUCCAUAAGUAAGAACAUAAACUCCUACUAUUUAUAAAACAUCGUUGCGCUGCUCUAUUCACCUUUCAUACUUUAUUUACUUCUUUCCUCCUUUUUUUUUUUAAAGAAAAAGAAUUAUUUUUUUAUAGACCAUCUUUGACAUAAUAAAGGACAACGUAAUCGAAAUGAGGAUCAGAGUUCAAGGAUUUUCCAUGACUGAAGCACACGUUUGCAUGAAUCGAAGAAAAUUUCGCAAUUACAUAACGAGCGGGGGGUAAGCGGGCGUCUAUCCAGCCCUCGAAAUAGCUUGGUUUAUUCUUAACGGACGGAACAUCUUUCGCUCCUCUUACUUAUGCACGAUAGACUCGCGGCGAGACGCGUGCCACGAAAAGAAAAGGAAGAAAGUGGCCACGUUAUCGGCUGACGACGUCACCGUUGCUGUCAUUACACGAUGACAGCAGCCACCGUAAUCUCUGCUCGACGAAAAAACGAAUUGCACGCCUCGAGUGUCUCAGCUGUACAUCGUCGAUCCGAUGGAUCUUCAAAUUGUACUGUAUUCUUGUUUCAAAAUUUAUUAGCAUGCCUUCACAUUGCUUCUUUUCUUUCUAUUUAGAUUUCAUUUUAAUUACAUCUAUAAAAAUAUGAAAUUAUGUAAACAAAUAUCCGCAGUCCAGAUAAAAAUGUUUAUGAGAGCGAACUUUGACUCUCGAUUCGAAUUUUAGAACAUCGAAAGCUUAAUGAUUAACAACAGAAGAAAGUUUUCGUUUCGAAAUUAAUAAAAGAGCGAUGAUCCAACACGCAAACGUAGGUGGUAUACUACGCAUAGUGUAUUAGAGUACUUUAUUAUUUCAAGUAUGCUGCUCGCUUUUUUCUCGUGAUUCGCCCCGUUAUUUCUAGAACUUGACUCAAGACCACCGCGAGAUUUUCAUACGAUAUAGCUGUCGUGUAUGAAUAUCAUUUAAUGACCCGAAAUUAAAAUUAGAUUGCGCGAUAUUACCUUGCCGAACGUGUCCGAUUUCAAAGUGAAACAUCUUAGGUACAUUAGGGUUUCUCGUAGCUUACUUGUACUUGUAACACUCGAACUUGUCCACAAGUUUCUCUUUCUGAUUUGAUUUAUCCUUAUUACCAUCCUCUUGCUUAAGGUGUUGAUAUAGAGAAGAUAUGUUUGAGAAAUAAGCAAUUAUAUGUUCAUUUGAUUCAUUUUAGGACUAAAACACUCGAUGACAAAAGUUUUUCCACUCCGUUUAUUAAUUUUCAUUCUCUGAAUUUAUCCUUUGAUUUUUUAAUUUACUAUACGAAUACGUUCUUCGCAGUAUCUAAUCGUCACAGUGGUAGAAGAUUAUAGUCUUAAAUUAGCAAAUUCUUUUAAUGAGAAGAAAAACAGAAGAGGUUUCUACACACUGAAAUAUACGUAUGCAAGAUUGUUUACAGAAUUUAUAAAUAGUAAAACAAUGCGUAUAACUUAAGUCGAGAUAUACCAUUUUUAUACUGUACGUUCUAAGGACAUAAUUCUUUCAAAAAGAAUUGUUCUAUACCAACAUCGUUCACUAAACGUCUCUUCCAUGUAUCAAAAAAUCAAGUUGAAUCCUCAGAAUUCCACGCACAAGUCAAUUACGUCAAAAGCAAAGAAGAUUCUCUGUCUUCUUGCUAGUUUCUGGAAGAAGAUCAGAAUAGUGCGUGUGAAGCAAAAGUUCUCGACGAUCUAUAGAACUGUUCACGUUGUUUUUGUGCGUGGUCAGUCCACGAGUUCGUCCGGUGCGGCGUCUAAGUAUAGCCGUGGCUGUAUUGGUCUCCCGACUAAUGUUUUUCGGUAACCACCGACUGUGGAUCCCCCUCGAGAAAGAGGAUCGGUGGAAGAGCAGAGACCUGGUCCAGUCUGCGACCAGCCACGGUGUCCUCUUCGAACCAACGACUCGAAACACGAACAACGGUGUUUACCUCCCUUGACCUUCGUUAAGGUGCGUCAGCCCUUCCACCGUCCCUCUACAAUUUUUUUCAACGUGGACCUUGCAACUUCUUGACAAGGUCUUUCCGAUUCCUUGAGAUAUUUUGUGCCUUCGAGAUGAUCUUUGGAAUUGCUUCGUUCUUUCUUGUAAAUGCUUCGAUACUGUGAAGAUCGAUAUAGACAUUUUGUUACGAAAUUCGUUUAAUUUAAUCGAUACAGUGUCAGUGAUACAUGUGACAGAUGAUUUACUUGGAAUUUUCGAUAGUAGGAGACACGUAAGUUACGGAGUUUCGAAUAGAGUAGCAAAGAUUUGCCUAAGCUGAUCGACAGGAAAUAUAUAAUAGUUGCGUGGAAAAUCCAGUCGCAUCCAAAAAUACGCGUCUCUUCAUCCUGGUGUCGAAUUACGGCGUCGAACAAUUCGGUGUUCUACGAUGAGAAACUACAAUUGCCAAUUUUCGAUCGAUCUCUUAUCUUCUUUCUACUCCACGACGAACAAUCUUGAACGAAUAAUAUUUUCAAAUUUGAAAAAAAUAAUAUUUUCAACCCUUUACGCCGGUGUUUAAGGAUCUUGGACGUUUUGAACUUUUUAACGUGUUUAAAAUUAUACAAAAAUCUUAGGACAAUAUUUUUGCGCAACGUGUUAUUUAAAACGACGUAGAAUAAAGUUUGGAAAAAUGUA